AUGAACUGCGCGACAGAUCGUGACCUGGAAACAUGGAAAAGCAUGAGUGGACAAUUAAAACUCGUUCACGUGUAUCGGUUUAGUGCAACAUACUUCCAUCCUUUUCUCGAGCAAACUUUCGCACUUCUAGAGGAUUUCACCGUGGGUGAAGUUUGUUGCGCAGCUUCAAGCAGCAGUAGUGACUUUUUUCGACGUCACCCCUUACUUCGAAGAUUCUCCAUCUCCGUGGCUGUUCCAGUAGAAUGGAUUCGAAGCAUUACUAGCCACUGUCCUGAGUUGACGUAUCUACACCUGUAUUUGCUGAAUCCGGAAGCAGGAUUAUUAGCGUCUCUGGCGCAACUGUCCAAGCUGAAGCACCUGUCUUUAGAAGGAGAAGUGAAAAGAAAGCUGUUUCGUGGAGUUAUCGUAUCACUCAAAACCGUACAUUUAAAUGUGCGCUUUCCUGUGGUUCUGCUGAAGAACCUUUGCGAAGUCGCGCUACAAUUGAGCUGUCUAGAAGUCAAGAAAUAUCGCUUGUCCCUCACUAUGUUACAGUUCAUUUUGGAGAGGUUUUCUAGUGUCCAACGGCUAGAACUAUGUUUUAGAAAAGGGAUUCAAUUGCGCGAUUCGGUUAGGUUUGAUCGAUUAGAACAUUUGCAGGAACUGAUAGUAUCGGGCGCUCAUUCCAUCAGUUGCAUUCAUCGCAACAACGCUCGCUACUUGACAAUGUUACACUGUGAGUUAAUGGAUGAUGAUUUGAGCGAGCUACCGGAAAAGUUCCCUUUGUUAAAGAGAUUGAUCCUCGACGAAUACUCGGUGUUUCGGCAUAUGGUCGAACGGCUACAUAAAUUGAUGCCCUCUUGCAGAAUCGACUAUGCCGACAAACGCUUCUACCCCGUUUGACGAUGUGACUGCGAAUUGAAAGGCGUUCGUAGUGAUA